GGCCGGCUGGGGGUCUCGCGCCCACCCACUUCCGGGGUCUCGGCGGAGUAGGAGCGGCGGCGGUCUGGUGCCACAGGGUUUCUGCGCGCUCCUGGGAACGAAUCUCGCCGUCGCCUCCAGGACCCCCCUAUGCUGCUCCCCGGGACCCCCGGCGCUCCCCAGGAUCCGGCCCGCCGUCGCCCAGGACCCUCCUCCUCGCUCUCUAGAACCUAGCCCGUCGUACCUCAGGCUCCGGCCCGCCGCCCCCAGGACCGGCUCGCCAGCCGCGCGUUCUCAGGACGUCAGGCGAGGAGGAGGCGUCAUUUGCACAAAUGCGGUUUAUUAUUAGCCUUCCCUGGAGUGAUGUUUCCUAUCUCAAACCCGUCAGCUCUCUUUCCAGCACAGAAGCGGAGCUCCCCUGACUGCUGCCACAGACCGAAGAGUGGAAAGGAGCCCAUUGCAGUGGCAUCACGUGCAGCUCCCAGAAUCAACAGCAGGCUGGGAAGCCAGGUUCAGUGAACCAGUAGGAGCAAGGCACCUGAGAGCCCAGAUCACGGCGCACGUUCUGACAUAGCGUCGGUGCUGUUGGCUGUUGCCCCAGCGCCACUGUCUCCGCUCAGCUCUGGAUCCUGGAUGCUGGUGCUGCUGCCGCCACAGCUAUUGUCACUCCUUAUCCCUAAAAGAUGAAGAUCGUCAGCAGCAGCAGCAGCUGGAGCCUGCACCCAGCAGUCAUCAGCUGCAAGGAAGUGAAUCCAGCCAACAACCUGGGGGCCAGGAGUGAAUUCUUCCCCUCAACUUCCAGUGGAGGAACCAGCCUGGUGACACCUCGGCUGUGGGCUUGUGAGGCCCUGAGCAGAAGACCCAGUAGAGCCGUGCCCGGACUCCUGACCAAGACACUGUGAGAUGAUAAAUGUGUGUUGAUUUAAGCCGCUA